CCCGCUGAACUUAAGCAUAUCAGUAAGCGGAGGAAAAGAAACUAACCAGGAUUCCCGUAGUAACGGCGAGUGAAGUGGGAAAAGCUCAAAUUUUAAAUCUGACAUCUGUGGUGUCCGAGUUGUAUUUGAUAGAGCUUUCUUGUGAACGUGCACGUGGCUCAAGUCCUUUGGAAAGAGGCAUCAUAGAGGGUGACAAUCCCGUCUAGGUCACGUUGUCCGGUCAAUAUCAAGAAGGUUCGACGAGUCGGGUUGUUUGGGAAUGCAGCCCAAAAUGGGAGGUACAUUUCUCCUAAAGCUAAAUAUUGGCAAGAGACCGAUAGCGAACAAGUACCGUGAGGGAAAGAUGAAAAGAACUUUGAAAAGAGAGUUAAAUAGUACGUGAAAUUGUUAAAAGGGAAACGAUUGAGAUCAGUGAUGCUUUGUGUAGUUUCAAGGCCUUCUCGCAACGAGGAGACCUGUACUGCUACCAAAGCGGGUUGACUCUCAUUUUCGAGUCUGGUCAAGGCUUGAGGAAAGGUGGCCUUGUCUUCGGACAACGGCUUUAUAGUCCUCUUGAGAUACAGACGCGCAGGAUGAGUGAAAGGCACACCCUUUCUCAAGGACGAUAACAUCGCCCAAGUCGACAAAAUGAUCUUAACCGACCCGUCUUGAAACACGG
rnacentral:rRNA from 1 species